rnacentral:rRNA from 1 species
CCUACGGGAGGCAGCAGUGAGGAAUAUUGGUCAAUGGACGAGAGUCUGAACCAGCCACGCAGCGUGAAGGAUGACUGCCCUAUGGGUUGUAAACUUCUUUUAUAUGGGAAUAAAACAGGGUAUGCAUACCCUCUUGUAUGUACCACAUCAAUAAGGAUCGGCUAACUCCGUGCCAGUAGCCGCGGUAAUACGGAGGUUCCGAGCGUUAUCCGGAUUUAGUGGGUUUAAAGGGAGCGUAGGUGGAUUGCUAAGUCAGUUGUGAAAGUUUGCGGCUCAACCGUAAAAUUGCAGUUGAAACUGGCAGUCUUGAGUACAGGAGAGGUGGGCGGAAUUCGUGGUGUAGCGGUGAAAUGCGUAGAUAUAACGAAGAACACCGAUGGCGAAGGCAGCUCACUGGACUGCAACUGACACUGAUGCUCGAAAGUGUGGGUAGCAAACAGGAUUAGAUACCCGUGUAGUC